GAGAUUAUGGGUUUCAAAUACACAACAAAUACUAGAAGAAGAAGAAGAAGGAAAAGGAAGAAUAAUAGCCAUGAUGAAUCAACAUGUUUCCGCUAUCUUCAUUUUAGCUCUCCUCUUCACUGUUGGAAUUGAGGUGAUGGCACAAGAUCAAGGGAAAGUAUGUGCUGUACCGUUUGGUCUUCCAAAUUGUAAGAAUGCUACAUGCAACAGCUCGUGCCAGAGAAAAUUCCCACCAAAAGGAAAUGGAAUGUGUCAAGGUGGUGCUACUUGUCUUUGCUUUCACCCUUGCUAAAUUUGUUCAGAUACAAAUGAAUAAUGUCAAAAUCAUUUAUAAUAACUUGAAUAAAUUUCGCAGAUGUCGUUUGCAUCAUUGCAUGUAGGGAUCGAUGCAAAUAAGUAAUUAUGUAUGGUAUUAUUGUUGAAGUCCAACAAAUUCGAGAUCUCUCUCAUGUGUCAAAAUAUUUAUCAAAUCCUUGUACUCAUGCAUAUUAUUCAA